GAUGAAUGCUGGCGGCGUGCUUAACACAUGCAAGUCGAGCGAGGUGAUUCCUUCGGGAAGAACCUAGCGGCGGACGGGUGAGUAACACGUGGGUAACCUGCCCUAUAGAGGGGGAUAGCCUUCCGAAAGGAAGAUUAAUACCGCAUAAUAUUACUUUGAGGCAUCUUGAAGUAAUCAAAGGAGCAAUCCACUAUAGGAUGGACCCGCGGCGCAUUAGCUAGUUGGUGAGGUAACGGCUCACCAAGGCGACGAUGCGUAGCCGACCUGAGAGGGUGAUCGGCCACAUUGGGACUGAGACACGGCCCAGACUCCUACGGGAGGCUG
rnacentral:rRNA from 1 species